rnacentral:rRNA from 1 species
UCGAGGAUUCGUCCAAGUGAAGUAGAGGACAGUGGCGGACGGGUGAGUAACGCGUGAGGAACCUGCCUUUCAGAGGGGGACAACAGUUGGAAACGACUGCUAAUACCGCAUGACACAUUGGGGUCGCAUGGCCUUGAUGUCAAAGAUUUAUCGCUGAAAGAUGGCCUCGCGUCUGAUUAGCUGGUUGGUGAGGUAACGGCCCACCAAGGCGACGAUCAGUAGCCGGACUGAGAGGUUAACCCCCACACUGGUACUGAGACACGGCCCAAACUCC